rnacentral:misc_RNA from 1 species
UCCUAGUUAACCUAGGCAGUCUUGCCAGAGUCCCCGCCAUUACGCGUUGGCAACUGACAAUAAGGGUUGCGCUCGUUGCGGGACUUAACCCAACACCUCACGGCACGAGCUGACGACAGCCAUGCAGCACCUAUAUAGAGACCCUUUCGGGAAUCGACAUCUCUGUCGACGUCCUCUACAUUUCGAGCCUGGGUAAGGUUCUUCGCGUUGCAUCGAAUUAAACCACAUGCUCCACUGCUUGUGCGGGCCCCCGUCAAUUCUUUUGAGUUUCACCCUUGCGAGCGUACUCCUCAGGCGGCAUACUUAACGCGUUAGCUCCGAAACAGAUAGGGUUGAGCCCACCUACUUCUAGUAUGCAUCGUUUAAGGCUAGGACUAC